CGAGGCAGCAAACGUCCUGGACCCGGUAGCUGGGCUGUACUGGUCUCCUGUGGUGGACGGCAAGAGCCACCUCAACAGGUGGUACAUCGUCUUCGACUUCAAGUCGUGCUUCACCCUGAGCCGGCUCCGCCUGGCGAACUGCGGCGACACGACUCAUGACGUCAGGUCCUUCAUUCUGCAGAAGGCCGCAUGCGUCAAGCCGCACCACUGGGGAGACGUGCUGGAGGUGGCAAAGGUGAAGCCUGGCAGUAAGAAGCCGCAGGAGUUCGGCUGCUUCUCGGCGACUGCCCGGUACUGGCGGCUACUGGUCACCAGCACGCACGGGGGAGAACAGCCGAACAUCGCGAACGUCGACUUCUUUGGUUCA